AGUGAACGCUGGCGGCAGGCCUAACACAUGCAAGUCGAACGGCAGCACAGAGGAGCUUGCUCCUUGGGUGGCGAGUGGCGGACGGGUGAGGAAUGCGUCGGAAUCUGCCUUUUUGUGGGGGAUAACGUAGGGAAACUUACGCUAAUACCGCAUACGACCUACGGGUGAAAGUGGGGGACCGCAAGGCCUCACGCAGAAAGAUGAGCCGACGCCGGAUUAGCUAGUUGGCGGGGUAAAGGCCCACCAAGGCGACGAUCCGUAGCUGGUCUGAGAGGAUGAUCAGCCACACUGGGACUGAGACACGGCCCAGACUCCUACGGGAGGCAGCAGUGGGGAAUAUUGGACAAUGGGCGCAAGCCUGAUCCAGCCAUGCCGCGUGUGUGAAGAAGGCCUUCGGGUUGUAAAGCACUUUUGUCCGGAAAGAAAUCCUUUCGAUUAAUACUCGGGAGGGAUGACGGUACCGGAAGAAUAAGCACCGGCUAACUUCGUGCCAGCCGCCGCCGUAA
rnacentral:rRNA from 1 species